UCAGCUUCCGACACAGGAGCCCGCCUGGAAGGGCCGCCUGGGCGAGGUGCACCAAGGGCACGCGGAGCCCGGCUGUCUGUCCCCACCAUCCGCAAAGCCUGGGGAAGUCCUCCCGCAAGGCCUGCAGGCUGCGGGGGCUCUGGAGGGCUCGGCGAUUGGUUACUGUAGACCGAGGCAUGUCAAAAGGGAGACUCCUUCCCGCCCCCGACUUCCCGCACAGGGUCACCCUCUUCCCUGCCCGGGCACCCCCUCCCCUGCGAGUCGCCGGGCCCUCGCGGAGCACCGCCCGCUCCUACGCGUUGCGCUCCUCGUUAGCACCCGCCGCCUCCGCCUCCUCGUUCAGCGGGCGCGGGGCGUCCGGCGACACCGUGGACCGGUGCAGGGCCGAUGCGGGACUUCGAGCUCCGGAGAGGCCUGGGGUGGGUGUGGGGCGAGGAGAAGUGCCUGCCGGGAGCCCCUGCUCCCGAGGAGAGCUGGGAGUCCUGGGGAAAGUGUCUGCCGCGCUGCAGAGCCAGCAGGUAAUUGGGGAGGUGCUCGCUAGGCCAGCGAGCUGCGCUCGGCCGGGGUACGGCGGAGCGGGGCGGGCGGCGGGGUCCGGAUAGAGGCGUGGCGGGCGGCGGCGGGUAGACGCAUUCCAGGCGCGCAGAACUCUGUUGUUAUAUAAAAGUACCGGGGCUGCAGCUCCCGAGCGGAAAGCCACCUGUGUGCGGCCGGCGCGGCGCGCAGGGGAGGUGGAGGAUGGGGGCCGGCGGCCGGAAGGCGCGGGCCCUAAUCCGGCUGCCCCUCCCUAACCCACGGCGGAAAAGAGGGCGCGCAUUGUCCCGCCGCCGCCGCCGCCGCCGCCGCCGCCGCCGCCGCCGGGGAGGCGGAAGCGGAGGCAGCCGCUCGGCGGGGAGCGGCUUUUCCGAGCGCCCUCGCGGCGCUCUGCGUCCACCGCUGAUAUCGCCGAGGGCACCUGAGGUCGCGGGGUCUCCCCAAGCCAGACGCCCCACACCCACGGGCCGGCCUGCUGACGCCCCCGCUCCAAUUUGCAUUUUUAGUCACCCGCCUCUUCUCUGGUUUGGGGAAUGUAGGCUAAAAAAAGGCGGCUGCGAGGCCCAGGUUGCCAAUUUUGGAGCUUUGCUACAGUCAGGCCGCCCCUGGAGGAGCGUGUUCGGUGAAGGUGGGAGUUGCAGCGCUCCUAUCCCCGCGCCUUUUUUGGGCAUCCCUUGGAACAGAGCUCCCAUAUUUCACUGGAUAUCAUCCAGUUCCAGCUGGAGGAGGCCUGCGCUGGAGUUGACGCCUCCGAUCCGCCUCCACCUGUUACAGAUGUCCCUACCCCGAGACCUUUCUGUUACUGGAACCUGGAGGCGAGGAGGGGAGAAGCAGGAUGCCUUGCAGCGGAACUGAGAAGUGCAUAAUCUUUCAGCCCAAGACCUCCAACAGAAAAUGCAAGAAGGGAAAUUGUUUUCCACUUAGCUAUUUUUAAAGUGCUGAUACCUGAGCCUGGGCAUCAGUUUGGAAGGAUGGUUGCAACACUUCUCAAACCUGAAACAUUUAGCUUUACCCGUGCUUCUGAACCCUCAGUCCUUCUCAGGACACUGGAUAAAAUGGCAUUCAGACCUCUUGGUCCUAAAACGUGCGGUAUAAAGAAAGGGCCUCUGGAGUGGGGCGGCCUGGGUUUGAAUUGUGCCCUCACCCCUUCCUAAAUGUGCGACCUUGAUUACAUCGUCUAACUCUUUUAAACCGUAGCCUUCCACGCUGGCAUACGGAAAAUGACAGAAUCGCUGUGAUGACUGAAUGGGUAAAGUGAGAUGCCCUAAGACGUUGUUGGUGUGUCAUUAACUGUUAAUAUUAUUUUUAUCUUUCUGAAUUCUGAACCUGCAGAAUGGCCCCCGUCCUUUCAAUCCCAAAGACGCCCUUUGAUGCCUAACAGCCCGCCUGAAAUUCCCUAGUCUAAGAAGAAAUCCUCUGAAGAACUGCACUAAGCAGUUAAAUCCAUGCCAAUUUAGCUGUCAAGCAAAGCAGGUGCUGUUACAGACCACGAUCAAAAUCCUUUAACACAGUUAAAUACCGAAUAUACCCAGCUACCCUUCUAACUUCUCCCUACUGGUCCCCUCUUAAACACUCUGUACACUAAGCUGAUAUAAUAGAAGUCAUAUGUAGUGGGUAUUUACCACCUGGUGGGCAUGGUCUUGAUUUCUGUGUUUACAUGCAUAUUUCCGUCAGUCUUCAGAAAACCCAUGCAAAUUAUCCUCAUUUACAGAGAUUAAGGAAUUUGCCUGAGGUCACACAGGAGCCAACGAUGGGGUCAGGAUUUGAAGCCUGACUCUUCACAGAGCCUCAAGGACUACCACAUACCCAUAUUACAGGGUGUUGUGGAGACCGCGCCCACCACGCUCUGCUGUUGCUGCUGAAAUUUGAAGGAUUCAAGGUGCCUUGAAAAGACAGCAACUUAUGUCAGACCGGUAGGCACUGUGGAACCCAAGAGGUCCAAAGGACUGACAAUAGGAAACCAAGUAAAGAGUACGUUCCACCAUCCUGGGAAACACUGCUGACUCCCUGGCCACCUCCUGGGCACUCUCCACCAGCGCUAGCAAGACUGUGUGGAUAUAGAAAGACCAUGAUGCUCUCACCUGCAAGCCGAGACCCAGGAAAACAUGCAUGUCUUUGACUCAAAGCAAGGUCUGAAAACUCGCUGAGGACAAGAACCUUGUCUGAGGUGCUUCCCACAGAAGACUGUACGUAGUAGAUGGACAGGGAGCAAGGUGGAAGCAAGAAGAUCAGUCAUGAGGCUAUUUCAACAGUCCAGGCAAGAUGUUCCGGUGGUUCAGACCAGAAUGGUGGUGACAAAUGGUGUGGUACUAGAUAUAUUCUGAAAGUGUGACCAACAAGAUUUGCUGAAGGUUUGGAUGGAUAGUGUGAGGGACCAAGAGAGAUCAAGGAAGAUUCCAAGGUUUAUGGCCCUAGUUAGAGCUGCUGUUGACUGAGAUAGGGACAUCUGUAGAAGGAGCAGUUGGGAAGGGGGAAGGCCAGGGUUUCAGUCUUGGAUGUAUUAUAUUUGCAACGUCAAGGAGCGGUUGGAUCUGGAGUUGGGGGUGGAGCGCAGGUGAGAGAAGGAGCCUAGGCUGGAGAGUUACAUCUGGGAGUUUGUUAACUCCCAGGGACUGAAUGAGAUCACCAAAAGACUGCCUGUAAACAGAAAAGAAGUGUCCACACUCUGGAACCCUCUAGAGUUAAGUGCAUGGAGAUGAGGAGGAGCCAGAAAGGGAUGCUGAGAAGGAUCCAGUGAAGGAGAAGGACAACCAGGAGCUCAUGGUGCUCUGCAGGCUCAUGAAAAAAAACUCAUUCAAGGAAGAGGGAUUCAUGAUCAGUGUCAACUGCUGUGGAUUGGUUAGGAAGCAAGUGUUAAGAAGAUGAACACAUAUUACUUAAGGACAAGGAAAUAAGGAAAGAAAGAAAACUUAACUAUGCAUGAACUUUCACUUGGCAACAUCACUUCCAAGAAUUUUUCUUAAGGAAAUAAUUAAAAAACUUUGCCAGGAUGUUCUCUGGCAGGAUUAUUUGUAAGAGCAAGAAGUUAGAAACAAUCUAAGAGCCUCGCAGUAGCAGAUCUGUUAUAGUUAACCAGCUUAUUAAGCAGUGCUGACUUUCAAACAUAGGCAUUGAUAUUGAAAGCUAUUGACUAUACAUUGAGAAGAAAAACAAAGUUCCCAUGUUUGUAAAACUUAUAUGUUUAUUUGUAGAUAUCUAUCUAUAUGUAUCUACAUGUGUGAAAUUGGUAAUCCAUGCCAAAUUGGAUCAUGGAUUGCCGACACUUUUUGUCGACUAUAUUUUCUUAUUUUUCCAUAAUAAGCAGAAUGAGAAACUUGUCAUGAGAAAGCAACAACACAAGAACUUGCUCAAUGUAUCUGUGCUGUGUGGCACCUUUCGAUUUUUUGGUGACUCUCAGGAGGUCCUGGGCCUCUUUGCCUUGGGUCCCUCCACAUCAUUCAGGACCCUCUUGCUUGAUCUGACUCAAAUGUCGCCUGUAUAAUCCUGCUGUAUGUCAGCAAGUCUCCUUCAGACCACGUCUGUAAGAUGCUGGUUGAUAUCCACAGCAACAGAGAGGGAGGUGUCCAAAGCUAUGAGUCACACCUGCCUGCUUGCUAAUAUGUGUACAUAUGUCCAGCCAUUUUGCCCAAGACUUGCUUGAAUUGUGACACACUAGCUGGUUUGGAUCAAGUAAUGCCCACUAGCCUGUUACAAGAAACUGCUGAAAUUCUCAGGAAGAGCCUCAUGAUCAUCCUUUGGCCAGAUUGGUUUAAGCCAUUUGUUACAAAUAAAAAUAAUCAUAUUACUUGAUAUGUAUAAGGGACAUUGUCUCAGUAGUAUAUGAGGUGGGUAUAGAAGCCUAUUUAGAGAAUAAUACUUUCAUUAAUCUGUUGUACGUAAUCUAAGUUUUAAAAAUUGUGCUGCCUGUACCUUGAAGACAACCCUUAGCCAUCCCUCUUUUAACCAGAUUGCUGCUCCAAGCCCCUGCUAUCUAGGGAUUCUGGUGCAGCCCCGACCCCCAGGGGACUCUGGAUGUCCUUUAGAAGUCCAUCUGCCUUGUUUCCGCAAUGCGCCACUUACAUUUGAAACAGCUGCUCCACAAUUGGAAUUUCCAGCCCCAAAUUGGCAUUUCUCUGAACCAUUUGCGACUUACGCACUAUUAAUGUUUGGAUUACACUGGAUAACUUUGGAGGUUAAAAUUGAUUCAUGCAAAUAGAUGACUGAGUAAGCAAUAGAAACAUGACCUAGAAUAAUCUCAUGGUUUGCUAUUGCAUAAACAUGUUUUAUAAUCUGUUUAACAGCAAACUUGAUACUUCCUGAAUGUGCCAACCAUAACACACACUUUUCUGUUAGACAAGAGAAAGAGAAAAACCAGGUUUUUCUUCUCAUUCAUAAUCAAGGAAAUGAUUAAACUAAGAAAAUCUGGUUGUCCUUAGUAAAUAUACUUUCUUGUGCUUUUCCUUUCAUUCUGUAUUCUUUUCUUAUCUUCUUGUGCAGGACUGGAACAAAGGCAACCCUCAUAGUUGCAAUGGUAGCAUUUGACCUCAGGUUUAUUAUUUUAAAUACACCUGCCUGAAAAUGACCAGAAAUCAAAAUAAGCAUCGCCAAUAAUGGGAUGGAUUGACACUAUAUGUCCCUUGGUGUGAGACACUAAGAGAAACACAGCCUCACUUCCAUGCUAUUCCUGGCAAAAUGCAAAUAGUACUGAUCAUAAGGAAACAUAAUAGAAACCCAAAUUGAGGGAGAUUCUACAAGACAACUGGUGUGAAAUCUUCAAAAAUAUAGAGGUCAUAAAAGACAAGGACAGAUUGAAGAAUUAUUUCAGAUUGAAGAAGAUGAAAGAGACAUCCAAAGUGAAGGGGACACAUUAUCCUGGACUGCAACCA